AUGACCCGGCCGCCGCUGGUCACCUUCGCCACUGCCCUUACUCUUCCUCUUCCGCCUCCACGACCGGUCACAAACCCACAUCCACUGCCGGCCACAGACUCCCUCCCCUCCACCUCCCCUCCACCAAACCCGAGAAACAAGCCGUUGUCGCCUCCAUACUGCGCCGCUUCAAGUGCCUCGCUGCCACCACACUUCGCUGCUCCAAGGGCAUCUCCGACACCUCGCUGGACAUCUGCACGACACACUAAUGGGGAAGAAGAUUGCAGCGAAGAAAUCCUGAGGACGCAAGACAGCAGAACCACCACCUGUACAUCAUAUGGAUGA
rnacentral:rRNA from 1 species